rnacentral:tRNA from 1 species
AUUUCUUUAGUAUAGCUAGUACAAUUGACUUCCAAUCAAUUAGCUCCGAAUCAAUCCGGAAAGAAGUA